AACGAACGCUGGCGGCAUGCCUAACACAUGCAAGUCGAACGAAGGCUUCGGCCUUAGUGGCGCACGGGUGCGUAACGCGUGGGAAUCUGCCCUUGGGUCUGGGAUAACGGCGGGAAACUGCCGCUAAUACCGGAUGAUAUCGCGAGAUCAAAGAUUUAUCGCCUGAGGAUGAGCCCGCGUAGGAUUAGGUAGUUGGUGUGGUAAAGGCGCACCAAGCCGACGAUCCUUAGCUGGUCUGAGAGGAUGAUCAGCCACACUGGGACUGAGACACGGCCCAGACUCCUACGGGAGGCAGCAGUGGGGAAUAUUGGACAAUGGGCGCAAGCCUGAUCCAGCAAUGCCGCGUGAGUGAUGAAGGCCUUAGGGUUGUAAAGCUCUUUUACCCGGGAAGAUAAUGACUGUACCGGGAGAA
rnacentral:rRNA from 1 species